CUUUCUUAUGCAUGCGCUUUAGGACAGUUCUUACUGAAAUUUGUUGAGACGUGGGAUCUUGCAUCACAAUUAUUUUUAAUUCGUUAUUUAAUUAUUUUGUGAUUUUCCAUAAUAAUAAGGGAAUAUGGAUCCCGAAGCAUUUUUAGAAAUUGCUAAUCAAAUAUAUCGUAUCCAGAUGUAUCCAUUUUUCGAAAUCGCACAUUGUCUUGUAACAUGCAUAUCGGUUAGAGAAGAUUUGGCUAGAGAUGCUCAUGUGCUUUCUCGCAAACAUCCUCUUGCUUGUUGGAUUGUUUGUAUGGUAGCUAUCAAUGCUGGAUCUAUAUUAACCAGUUUUCUUCUCGGUGAACCAGUUCUUUCUGCAUUUAAAAACCAAAAUUCUGUGUUGCUUGCUACCGGAGCAUGGUAUAUGGUGUUUUACUCACCUUUCGAAGUUGGAUAUAAAAUUUUAAAAUUUUUACCUGUUAAAUUGGCACUUAAUAUCAUGAAGGAAGUGGUGCGUUGCAGGAAAGUUCAUGAUGGUGUGGUUUAUGCUGCCAAGAUCUACCCAAACAGUUAUUUAAUUAUGAUAAUAAUUGGAACUGUGAAAGGUAAUGGAUCAGCAUUUUUGAAAGUAUUUGAAAGACUCCUACGAGGUGUGUGGACACCUGAAAUCACUGAGCUACUUAUUAUGAACUUUCCGACUAAGGCCUCCAUUGCUGCUUCUGUUGUUUUUGUUUUGAACAAGAAGACGGAAAUCAUACCAGCCCCAAAUACUCUAGUAUAUUUUGGCGUUGCUUUAUUCUUCGUGUACUUCAAAAUAUCUUCAAUGUUGCUUGGUAUUCAUGAUCCGUUCGUGCCAUUUGAAAACCUUUACUGCGCCAUAUUCUUUGGAGGCAUAUGGGAUAAACUUAGUAAACCUUUUAUGCAGGCAUGUGGAGUCGACUACAAGAACAGUGAAGCUCUUAAGGAUAGAAGACCUGAAUCAGCAAAGAAAAAAGAAUAAAAACAUUGUGCUAGAAGUUUAUCCAAAUACAUCGUGCUAGAAGUUUAUCCAAAUACAUUGGAAUUCAAAUGCAAUUUUUAUAAAAUUUGGAUUUCAAAUUGCCUGCCAAAAACCUGUGAAAGCGCUGAUAUUUCUCUUGAAGAAUGUCUCAGCAUUGGUCAUCAGAGUAUGCAAUGUGAAUUAUGUUAAUUUUUUUUUAAUGUAAGUGUUUGCAAUAAUUUAUUCAUUGAAAGUUUUAAAAUAUAAUUUAAACAUCUAAGUAAGUGCCAUUUUCAUAUCAUAUAUAUUUGAUUAAACAUCGUUAUAUAUGAUAUUUACAUAUGCUGUAUCCAAAAUUGCAAAAUAUUACUUAACAUUCAUUAGUGAUGUAAUUGGAUUGUAUGGAGACCUUGUCAAAUAUUUUGUUUGGGAUCCAUUUUUCAGUCUUGGAACAUAAGAAAAUAGCAGUGUCUUUGUAAGUAUAACACCUGUGGGAAUGGGUCCUGAAAACAUGGACCCACUCUUCAUACUCUAUAGUUACAUCACUGACUUACAUGCUAUGUUAUCAGCUGAUUGAGAAAGUUUAUUCCCCUUUGUUUUAAUUUUAUAAAUAUAUUUAUCAUGAUGGUUACAAUUUUUAUAAUUUGGAGUGUAUAUAUUUUUUAUAUAGAAUCAUUGAUGAUCUAUUCAUCGAAAAAUGGUCCAAAUUAUUAUAUUUUGCAAAAUAACUUUAAAAGUGUCCCCAAGAGAUAUAAAUUAUAGACUUAGUAUGUCAUCAACUGUGUUAACUAGGUUAAUUAAUUAGACCUUUUCUUUCAAUUAUGUCCAGUGUAUUCUUUUAAUCUGUCUUGAGAGUUUCCUACUUUCUUGAUAAUUUACA